AAAGGUCCGGGGAGGGGGUGUCGCUUCUCUUCCUCCUCCGCGGGGAGGUGAGAAACCUCCGCCGGGCCCCGCAUAUAGUCCCCGGAUAUGGGGUGGGGGAGGGGGCGGGCGGCCGCUCUAUUGUGUGCGCCGCGACCCAGCCCUGCGUGGCCCUGUGCAGGGAUCCCGAUCCCGGGGCUCAGCGCAGUGUCACAACCAAACCGCCGUACCCCGCUAUGGCUCGGGCCGGGCGGCAGCUGUGAAGCGGCCUGCGAAGCCGGGAGGAGGUGAACCUGGGGACCUUCUUACUUGAGUGUUAUUGUGCUAUGAAAGGAUUUCCCCCUUUCCUUCCUCUCCUAUGCUGGGUAUAGGAAACAUGAUAGACUGUUUCGGGCAUUGAUCUUGGGCCAUUCCAUUACCUAGGUGCAGUUGGAUAUGCUGAUAACUAUUACAUGAAAGAAACAUUAGGGAUUGUGGCAGAAGAUUUGAGGGUAAUUCUUCUCACCAGCUACUCAGCAGUAGAGCAAAGGGAGCAGAACGUGGCAGAGAAUCCAUCGCAGUUUAUCUGUUGAGACCCCUUGAUCUUUUCAAAGUAAUGUAUUUGACUUGAAUUGAGUGAUGCAAACUGCCUAGGUUAAAAUUAAAAAAACAAAAAGUUGCUGUUUUAAUAACCUACUUUGAACAAAGUAUGCUAUUUUAAAGGCUAAAAUACAAUGAACACUGAAACCUGAGCUGCACAACACUCUUGGAUUGGAAAGGAUGGGAAUGCCAUAUAUUUAUGAAGUCAGAAGAGAAACCUGCAUUGAUAUUGAGUGACAUCCACACAUUUUGGAUUAAGAGUAGCUUUAUAAAUCAAGAUUUCUGUUAUGCUUUGAGUUUUUUAUUAAAAAAUGACUGGAAUUCAGAA